AGCAGCGGUGGAGACGCUGACGUCUUCCUGCAGCCCUGAGAAGAAUGCUCUCCGGAGCCAGCAGCUCUUCCUGCCAGACCCCAGCCCCAGGAAAAACAGAGGUGCUGGCUCAGCUUUGCCGGCCAAGAGGAAGAUCCCGGGAGAGUCUCUCAUUAACCCUGGCUUCAAAAGCAAGAAGGCACCAUCUGGAGUGGAUUUCGAGGACUCCUGACCUGUGCUGUCCCGUCCCCCCAUGACAGCCCUACUGGAGCCUUGUCAACCGCACGUGUGGCUCGUGGAGGAGGUUUCACUGCACCCUGGGACUGCUGAGCCCCUCGCGCCCGGGGAGGCGGACGGGGCAAGCAGGACCCAGAGGGCUGGAGCCAGCACCUGGCAGGCCUGAGCAAGCGGCAGAUCCUCAGCUGGCGCGGUGGCAGGGCCUUUGGGGGGACAGACCGGGCAGGGGUGACAGAAGUGGUGGCUUUUUUCCCUGCAGCUCUUCUCUGCUGACAGGGGCCACCUCUCUACCUCGCUUGCUAUGAAUUGGUGGGGUUUUUAAAGAACUUUUAUAUUGCCAUGUAAUGAAAAGAUUGCCCGUGCUUAACUUAUUGCCAGUAAAGGUGGUUUUAGCCAGCCGGUCUCAGGGGACCGGGACAGCA